rnacentral:rRNA from 1 species
UACAGCGGUCUCAAGCGUUGUUCGGAUUCAUUGGGCGUAAAGGGUGCGUAGGUGGCGCUGUAAGUCGGGUGUGAAAUUUCGGAGCUUAACUCCGAAACUGCAUUCGAUACUGCGGUGCUUGAGGACUGGAGAGGAGACUGGAAUUCAUGGUGUAGCAGUGAAAUGCGUAGAGAUCAUGAGGAAGACCAGUGGCGAGGGCGGGUCUCUGGACAGUUCCUGACACUGAGGCACGAAGGCCAGGGGAGCAAACGGG